rnacentral:rRNA from 1 species
AGUGAACGCUGGCGGCAGGCCUAACACAUGCAAGUCGAACGGCAGCACCGUACUUGCUGGCUCCUACGGUUGCCGACUGGUGGAUGGGUGGUGGAUAAACUGCACUCUACUUCUUCGUGGGGGAUAACGUAUGGAAACAUACCCUAAUACCGCACACGACUUACGUGUGAAAUCAGGGGAUCUUUGGACCUUGGACGAGUGAACGAGCCGUUGUCGGAUUAGCUAGUUGGCGGGGUAAAGGCCCACCGAGGCGACGAUCCGUUGCUUGGCUGAGGGGAUGAUGCGGCACACUGGAACUGAGACACGGUACAGGCACCUACGGGAGGCAGCAGUUGGGAAGGUUGGACGAAGGGCGCAAGACUGAUCCAGGCGUGCCACGUGGAUGCAGAAGGGCUUCGGGUUGUAUAGCCCUUUUGUUGGGAAAGAAAAGCAGCGCGAUAAUACCCGGCUGUUGUGACGGUACCCAAAGAAUAAGCACCGGCUAACUUCGUG